GCUAUGAUCAACAAUAGGAAGGUUUCAAGGAGGUUUUCUGCCCGUCCAAUCCCAAAAAGAGGACAGGUGAAGGUGGCUAUAGUGAUGGGUUUGGCUCACUCUGUUGCUUCUAUCUUCUCUCUCAGUAGUCGACGGGCAGGACAUGCUUCUCAUUUUUCUUAGUUAUUAGAUCAGUUGUUUAUAGAAAGAAAGAUAGAGGGAGCCUUUUGUACAAGGAAGGGUUGUAGUUUUGUACAUGAAUGGAUUGUUCUUUUCUAAAAAAAAAAA
rnacentral:misc_RNA from 1 species